rnacentral:lncRNA from 1 species
GGGCAUGCAAAAACACAUCUACAUGUCUUCUGUAUAUGGUGCGGUGACAAUUAUAAUUGAACACGUAUAAAAAAUAAUAAUUUAAGAAACGCAUCUCAUUUUUAAAUCAUUCACAAGUUGGGUGAACUCUUCAAUCAAAUAUUUGUUGGUCUUCAUGGUCCUUGAAGAGUAAUUUACUGAUUGAUAUGAUUACCGAUUGAUUUACAGAAUGGACAGCCAACAAGGAGACACACUAGAGUUUUAAGAAUUGAAACUUGUAACCUUUGAUUAUGGAGAGUCAACAACUACAUUGCAGAGGGUACAGAUCAAACCGGCAAUAACCAACGCGACAUACCUGAUGUUGUAGCUACCAGCAACGUUUCAGUACCAGUGUAUACAAUAAUGCAGCCUCCUCUUCCCCAGGGAUAGGCAGUUUUGCAAGUCCACCUGAAAGUGCAAUAGCUUUGUUAUCAUUAAUUGCCAGUUUCAGCAGAUUUAGAUGCGUGGCAAAGAGCUAAUUGAAUAAAAAAAGAAAGUAAUAUAGGCAAACAUAACGGGUGAAUGAGAUGCAUUAAACAAAAGAAACGAUAAAAAUAAAAGAAAAUAGAGAUUAAAAGUACUACCAUAUACAAGUGUUCUAAUCAAGAAAGAAAAAAUUUAUCCACCACAAUUGAACACAAUCUAUGUAGAAAGGAGUUGGAACCAACAAUCUAAUCAGUUUUCCUCUAGCUCCUCGUUGCUCGGCUGGUCGGGUUGUUGCUCAGCUUGAGGCCAGUACUGCUACAUUGGGC